UUCCAGACUCCUACGGGAGGCAGCAGUGGGGAAUAUUGGACAAUGGGGGGAACCCUGAUCCAGCGACGCCGCGUGAGUGAAGAAGUAUUUCGGUAUGUAAAGCUCUCUCAGCAGGGAAGAAAGAAAUGACGGUACCUGACUAAGAAGCCCCGGCUAACUACGUGCCAGCAGCCGCGGUAAUACGUAUGGGGCAAGCGUUAUCCGGAUUUACUGGGUGUAAAGGGAGCGUAGGCGGCCUGGCAAGCCUGAUGUGAAAUACCGGGGCCCAACCCCGGGGCUGCAUUGGGAACUGCCAGGCUGGAGUGCCGGAGAGGCAGGCGGAAUUCCUAGUGUAGCGGUGAAAUGCGUAGAUAUUAGGAGGAACACCAGUGGCGAAGGCGGCCUGCUGGACGGUGACUGACGCUGAGGCUCGAAAGCGUGGGGAGCAAACAGGAUUAGAUACCCCAGUA
rnacentral:rRNA from 1 species